rnacentral:miRNA from 1 species
CUGUCACAAAGGUGGGUGAAGCCAGUGAGGGUUGCUAAUUCUUCUGUGUCAACAAUCUUCUCCCUCUUUGCAG